rnacentral:rRNA from 1 species
AGAUUAAGUUAUUAAGGGCGCACGGUGGAUGCCUUGGCACUAGAAGCCGACGAAGGACGUUACUAACGACGAUAUGCUUUGGGGAGCUGUAAGUAAGCUUUGAUCCAGAGAUUUCCGAAUGGGGAAACCCAGCACGAGUUAUGUCGUGUUAUCUGCAUGUGAAUACAUAGCAUGCAAGAAGGCAGACCCGGAGAACUGAAACAUCUUAGUACCCGGAGGAAGAGAAAGAAAAAUCGAUUCCCUGAGUAGCGGCGAGCGAAACGGGAAGAGCCCAAACCAAUAAGCUUGCUUAUUGGGGUUGUAGGACACUCUGUACGGAGUUACAAAAGAAUUUGUUAGACGAAUAACCUGGAAAGGUUAAUCAUAGAAGGUAAUAAUCCUGUAGUCGAAAACGAAUUCUCUCUUGAGUGGAUCCUGAGUACGACGGAGCACGUGAAAUUCCGUCGGAAUCUGGGAGGACCAUCUCCUAAGGCUAAAUACUCUCUAGUGACCGAUAGUGAACCAGUACCGUGAGGGAAAGGUGAAAAGUACCCCGGAAGGGGAGUGAAAGAGAACUUGAAACCGUGUGCUUACAAGUAGUCAGAGCCCGUUAAUGGGUGAUGGCGUGCCUUUUGUAGAAUGAACCGGCGAGUUACGAUCUGAUGCAAGG